GCGAAUCGCCCUUCGGGGUGCAGCAGGCGCGAAAACUUUGCAAUGCGGGAAACCGUGACAAGGGAACUCUGAGUGCCCGUUAAAUCGGGCUGUCCAUCGGUUUAAACAACCGGUGAAGAAAGGGCCGGGCAAGACCGGUGCCAGCCGCCGCGGUAAUACCGGCGGCUCGAGUGGUGGCCACUAUUACUGGGCUUAAAGCGUUCGUAGCUGGUUUGUUAAGUCUCUGGGGAAAUCUUCCGGCUCAACCGGAAGGCGUCUCAGGGAUACUGGCAGACUAGGGACCGGGAGAGGUGAGAGGUACUCCAGGGGUAGGAGUGAAAUCCUGUAAUCCUUGGGGGACCACCUGUGGCGAAGGCGUCUCACCAGAACGGCUCCGACAGUGAGGGACGAAAGCUGGGGGAGCAAACCGGAUUAGAUACCCGGGUAGUCCCAGCUGUAAACGAUGCGCGUUAGGUGUAUCGGUGACCACGAGUCACCGAGGUGCCGAAGAGAAAUCGUGAAACGUGCCGCCUGGGAAGUACGGUCGCAAGGCUGAAACUUAAAGGAAUUGGCGGGGGAGCAC
rnacentral:rRNA from 1 species